UUGCAUGGCAUCAUGCAUUUGGAUAGACUAAAAUGAGAGAAAUAACACUUAAGGUUUAUUAAUAUAUUAUAAGUUCUAAUAUAUUAAUAAGAUUAUUUAAUUAGUAUUGAUCAAGAAUUAAUCUAGAAUUAAUUAAGUGAUCAAAAGAAGACUAAUUAAAUAUAUAUGGGUUGAUUGUGUAAAUAAUCCUUACUUUUAUAGUGGGUUAAGACUCCUUGGAUUUUCAAGUUGGGCUAAAACCCAUAGGAUGCUCCAUGGUAUAUUUGAACCCAUGGAUCCAAGGAAAUGGAAAGUCAUAACAAUUAGGGUUCACCCUAAUUGUCACUAACUAUAUAAGCAUCUUAUUGUUGACAAAAUCGACACUAGAGUAUGUGAGAAAGGGCUAGCCGAUUUUCAUGAAGUGUGUAUAUUCUCUCAAGUUAUGUAGAACCUGAUUCCUGGUACGUACUCCUUGUGAUUAAUGUUUUAAUUUUGUGCAUUUUUGCCUUGGACUCGGCGAGUUGAAGGACCAACUCGCCGAGUAGGAGCGGGAUAAGGCGCGGGGUUUGAACUUUGGACUCGGCGAGUCGGUCCCCGGACUCGGCGAGUAGACCCUGUUUGGACAAAAACCCUAAUCCGGGUGUUUGCACCCUAUUUAAACACUCUAACUUGGCCUCCUUUGUCCCUAACACUUCUAGAGAGCUGUAGAAAGAAACCCUAGCCCCCAUAUUGUUCUUGAGAGUGAUUUUGGCUUUGUGGAGAAGGUUUGGAGCUUAGAGGAAGGAAAAGGAGGUUGAAGUGUGCAAGGAGGGGAGGUAGAUCCGGAAUCUACACUGUGAGAAGCUUCCAUUCAGGUAGAAAAGUUCUUACCUUGAUCACUAGUUCAUUCGAUCCCCCUUUUUGUCCCAAAUUAGUGGUUUUCAAGCCCUAAAACCUCAAACUCCAUGUAUUUAUGCUCUAAGUUCUGAAAGGACUUCAGAUUGGGAUCUUAUGGACAUCUUAGAAGUAUAAAGUCUCUUUGGUUGGAGUUAUUGAGGUCCCUAUUGAGUGUAUGACCUCUUAAAGAGAUUGGAUUUGCCUUCUUGAGCUUAUAGGGCCAUGCAUGCACGUAAAGUUUGCAACUUUACGUGAUAAGCAUGCCCUAGAAACAUAGAUAUAUGGUUUAAAAGUGUUGCAUGCCUCAGAUUUGGUCUGUAUGGGAAAUGGGUCGAAGGGACUCGGCGAGUUCUAUGAAGAUGGUCCUAGACUCGGCGAGUUGGAUGAACAACUCGGCGAGUCCUAUGAAGAUUGCCUGGAACUCGACGAGUUGUUCUUCAAACUCGGCGAGUCAUAUGAACUUUCACUGAGUAAGAGGGGUUUAAGUGUUGAAGGUCCAACCCUUCGUAUCUGCACGCAGAAUUAGCAAUUUAACGUGUAGCAAUAGUCCCAGAACCCCAAAUCCUCUUAAGGGAUGCUCUGGUGAGGAUUUGGAAGCGAGUAGGAGAUCUGCUCGUGGGACUCGGCGAGUCGGAUCACGAGUCGGUUCUAUAUUCCCGAGUAGUGAGUUAAGGGCGACUCAGUGAGUGGGAAGAGGGACUUGGCGAGUAGGACCAGGUUGGUAGGAGAAGGACUCGGCGAGUCUAUGCCACGACUCGGCGAGUCCAGUCAACUGGAAGUUGAAUUUGACCAAGGAGUUAACCUUGGACCAGGGAUGGGUCAGUCAAUUGACCUAAGGGUAUUUAUGAGUGGCUAAUCUAUGUUUAUGGAUUUGUAGCCGGAGGAUUACCGGUGCAGCAGCCAGACGUCUAGCAGUCAGACUUUCGGUAGCUACUUUUCGAGGGGGGUUUCCUUCCAGUAGUAACGGGUCUAAGGCACCAAGGUNGCCGGCCCGUAUAGACGAUAUGUUAGUGUCGGAGUGUAAGCAGAGCCCGUAUCUCAUGGUUGAGUUUGAUUAUGAUAUAUGCCAGUAUGAUAGAAUUGUUUAUACUCGUUGUCUGUGUGAUAUUUGUACGUUAUGGUUUAGCAGCUGAGUGUGGGCGAGGCCCGUAUCUCUCUGAUAGUGGAGUGUGGGCGAGGCCCGUAUCUCUCAAAUAGAAGAGUGUGGGAGAGGCCCGUAUCUCUCAGAUAAGGGAGUGUGGAGCCCGUAUCUCCCAGAUAGCGGAGUGUGGGCGAGGCCCGUAUCUCCUAGAUGUUCAUUUUAUGUUUGUAUGGUAAGAGGUAUUAUGGGGGAACUCACUAAGCUUCGUGCUUACGGUUUGCAGUUUUGUUUUCAGGUACCUCUUCUUCAAGGGGGAAGGAGUUGGCGCGGUAGCAGCACAUCAUACACGCAUCUCGUUUUCCGCACCAUGACUCAUUCUGGGAUUUUGUACUCUGAUAGUUGAUUGUUUUCAUGUUUCGGUUUUCAGACAUGAUGUCUGUUAUGAAAUGGUUGGAUCAGACAGUGUUUUAAUUAAAAUCGUUUUCUAAGUAUUGAUGUGGUAAUGUUCAUGCUAAUCCAAUUUCAAAGAUAAUUGUCAAUAGAUUCAUGUUUUGUAUUAGUUUAAAGUUUAGACUAAUUACAUGAAAAAGUUUGAUUUGAAUUAUCUUGUUCUUAUGAGCUGCUUAGAUUAAUAGAAAAGUUAAUUGAUUAUGUGUUUUCAAUCCAUUUUAAUCUAAGAGUUGAUUCUAAAAUGUGUUUUUGUUACUUGUCCUCAAGUUAUAUGAAAAGUCACAUUUAAGUUUCAAAAAACUCAUAAAAGUUAGCAAUGGUUACAAAAAAUGAAGAGUCUUGUCCAUAAGUUAUGGAGGUUCAAGAGUCACUUCAUUAAGUAAUAAAAUGUGUAACCUUAAUUAAUUCCAUAAGUUACAAAAUAAAGAAAAGGUACAUUCUUUUACUAGUUUAAAGUCUUCCACAACUUGUUCUCAAGUUAUGGAACUUGAAGAGUCUUUUAAUUAAAACUACUUUAAACACAUAAGUUAUGGAAUUAAUUAGUUUUGAAUAGUUUUCAAAACUUGCCCUCAAGUUUUGGAAUUUGAAAAGUUUUCAUUUAUGAAUACUUUAAUUCCAAGUUAUCCCUUAGAAUUUUAAAAGUUAAAAUCUAACCCUAAUACUUUAUAAUAUUAUAAGUUAAUAAUAUNCGGUUGAUCAAAUGGUAAAGAGCAAGGCUAAGUCUAUGAUAGUCCCAUGUUCCAUUACCAAAGCGCCCAUAUGUUAAAUUGCCAAAGGAAGGGGCAUUAGUUGCGAAGCUGCCAAAUUUUACCUAAGGAUGUUAAAGUCAAUAAGAUUGACUCUACUUCAGGUAAAAUCCACUAUUUAACUCUGCUAAGUUUCUAUUCUGAGAUUCUUGAUACAUGAUGUAACUGGGUCACAUGUUGCUGUUUUAAGAAUCAAAGAAAAGUAAAUAAACUUAAAGAAAGAAUAUGUUGAAUCUGAUCGCGUAGAUGGAUUUCUAUCGCAUAAUUUGAAGAUCGGAUUCUUGAGCUACUUCUUAGGAGUUAUGAUAUAUUGCUUAGGAAUAGAUAACAAUAAAGUUUUCAUGUGCUUUUGCACUGUAAGGAUAGUUUUUCCGCAAAGUUUUUAAAAUAAAAGGAAAAUUUUUGAUUUUAUUUAUUUUAAAAUAUCCUUACAAUGACAUUUGUGAAAAUUUUUGUUGCUUAUAAAGAUUCCAUUAAGAGCAAGAGUGGAAAUAUGAAUUUGAUUCUCUCAUUUGUGGUAAUUUAUAAACUUACCAAAGAAGGAAAGAUUCUCAUCACCCAAGUUUCAAUCGGAACGGAACUUGGAAUCAUGCAAGUUGUAUAGCAUGAUGAAUGAAAACUUUCAAGCAUUGGAAAAAUUAAGACUAACUACUUGUUCACAUGGAUGUGUGAGUCAACUGAAGGACUAAGGGAUCGAUUACACAUUCUUGUGCACUGGUCAAGUCCACCACAAAAGAUCGAUAAGAUUAUUCGUCAAAGCUUAGUAAAUAUGGUUAUACUUACAAGCUUAAGUGUAAUUCUGAGACAUUGGAAAAGGUUCCAAUGUAUGACAGAGCGAAUAAGAAGAAUCAACUUAGGCNAGGCAGAAAGUAAAAGUUUCUCAAAUCUGAAAAGAUUGGAGAGUACUUUAGUAUCAAUUUUGUGAUCAUCUUAAUGAUUAAUAAACCAUAACACAAUUAGUUCUCUAAGGAAAUCUUAGUGCAUUCUUAUGACUAUGAAGAGGAGCUAUGAAUUGUUGAAGUGGUUAAAUCAAGAAGAUGACUCAUACUUCGUUCCAAAAACAAUUCCUAGAGUUAUACUCUAAGAAUGUAACUUGAGUGACAAAUCUUAAAGAAGGUUUAUUAACACUAUUCAAAUGUAUGAGUAAAAUUUUUCUACUCUUGUACAUUUGAAAUUGGUAAAUUGUGAUGUUUUGGAUAAAAAAAAGACCAACUAAGGCCAAUUGUGUGAAGUGUUUGUCUUGAUUAGAAUCCACACUAUCUCUUGAAUAUCUGACAAGAAAGUCUUAUAUGUCAAGAGGACAGUGGGAGUCUUAAAGGUCUUGAAAGUCUCAAAAACUAAUCAAGAAUAAAACCUGAAGUUCUUCACUAGCACACGACUUGAGGUUCAUAACCUAUCGUGUUGACAUAUUCUGUGCCCAUUCCAAUUAAAGUUGGCUUUGCAUAUGAGUUCUUAGAGUUCUCAAUUGGUUGCACAACAACUUGGAAGCAAUGACAGGCCCUUGAGCUGCUAGAUGGCAAGAAAUUAAGAUUGAGUUCAGUCCAUAUAAGUUUGAAUUUGUCAUUAUCCUUGUUUUGUGACUAUGGUUUUGACAAUUCACAUGGAUAAGAACACAUACACUAUUAAAUCUAAGUGUCAUAAGGUUUCUCUCCGAUUCAUGAAAAUGAUGGUGAGGAAACACUUUCACUAAGUAGAUUUUAGCUAGAUAGCAAUUGUGAUAUUUGCAUUCUCAAAGUCAUUAGUGGAGCAUGUGUGGUUUACCGGCACACUAACAUGGAGUUGUGAGAAGUGGAAAAGGUCUAAACAAUCAAGACUAUAAUUACGACAUCCUUUUUCAUAGUUCUUAAAAUUAUUUAGACACACAUGUGAGCUAUCUAAGAUAAGGUGUAUGAUUAUGAUAAAGUUUUAUCAAAGCGAUCUAGUAUCAUAAAUCUGAACUUUGGUAAGAAAGUCAAUAAAGUAUUGAUUUCUAGAAGUCCAGCUAAUUUCUGAGUACAUGUCAAAGCUAGUGGGAGCAUAAGUGUUAUGCUAAUAAUCAUCAUGUUAGUGGGAGCAUGAUAAUUAUGAUAAGUAUUGCAAGUUAGCAAUGUUAAUUAUAGAAAACAAAAGUUUCAAUUGGGAAAAAGUUGUUUUGCUAUAAUUAAGGGAGAGGAAAUUAUGCUUCAUCUCAAAUCUAUAAGCUUAGAUCGUGAGGUUUUAAUCAUUUAGUCAAGGAUAUAUAUGAAUUUCAUGUUGGAAUGGCUCAACAUAAGGAAAUUCUGUAUAUGGGUCCAUUAUUUGCGUUCUAAAAUUCGAUUAUGAUUACGGCAUCCCUUUUCAUAAUCUGAAUUAUGAGAACUUGGCAAAUUGAAAUGGAAAUAUUAUAGCAAAAGACUGGUUUAGUCUUUAUGUGAGACAUCAUGAAUCGUGUCCCAUAUGCUUCGGAUAUAGGAUCGAUUACAUGUGCUAUAUUCAUCCGUUCUAAAAUUUUCCAAAUGCCUGGGGCAUUAAGAAGGGAAAAGGUUUAGAACUGGAUAUGACUAAAAGGAUUAAACAAUUGUCGAGGACAAUCUAAGGUUUACCAAAGAUUGGUUGCUCAAGGACAGUUGGAAGUAUAGUGAUAAUUCUGGAAGGACCAUAUUGACAUAAUCUGUAAGGAGGCAACUCUUGUUCAGAAGUGAUAGUCAAAAUGGAAUCUGGAAAUGUUUCAAAGUUAGAAUUUUCAAUCUGUGUAAGAUUAAGGAAACUUAAUGCAAGAAGGAUAUUUCCAAGGAGUUGAUCUCCUUUGGAAUACUCUGUAAUGAUUGUUGCCAAGUCUUUGUGACUUUGUGCAUAAUCAUUACAAGAGGAUCAAUGCAUAUAAGUUUAGAAUCUAACAGAUUUUAGUAAAUGGCAUGAAUUUGGAAUUCUUUCAUUUGCCUUAAGGAUUUAGGACUGUGAAAAGAUCGAGGAUCAUUGGAGUUAUUUUCAAUUGAUCUAUGUCACAAAGUAAAGAUCAUAGACAAACAUAGUAUGCAUACUUGGUGUAUGGCAUGACUAGUGUUUAGAAAACAUAGUGUACAUGCUUGGAGCAUGGGACAACUAUUGUUUUAAAUUCAAGAAUAAAGUUGAUAGCUGAAACAGUAUACAAUGAAUAAUGUGUAAUCAUAUGGUGAUAAAUAAAAGGUGUUUUAUUUAUGUUCAAAGGGUUGAUACCAUAUUGGAUUCAAUUAUUAUUGUGUUUCAUUUUGCAUGUUUUGACUUCCCGAAUAAACUGGGUUAUUCUUCCGGAAUGACUAAGUUAUUCAAACCAUCCACAGUCGGUCAUAUGUUGGAAGUAGAUAUGAAUUAAGACUGUCAUGGGUUGGCUUGUAGAGGUCUAAGGUGUUGGACAAAGGGCUACAACACUCAUGAGUGCUCAUAAGUUCUGAGUAUUGGAUUCAACCCGCGCUCAUUGGAAUCACUUCAUGGAUUUUAUCACGAGUGAUCAUGAGACGAUAAUAUCUUAUAUUCUUCAAACCUAGAGAUAUGAGUUGUUACUAUGAGUUGAUAGUACAUUGAUUGCACGAAAACGCAUUUGGUAACUCGGUGCUAUAAAACGUGCCUUUGUGUAUGAUUCAACAAGUAGUAGAACAAGCCAUAUGAGUCGAAGUUUAUCCAUUCCUUUUACCUUCAGGAUAAAAGCGAUAUCUGUGGGCCCCUCGAUGAUUUGAUGAUGACAAAUGGAAGUGCUCGGCCGGGCCAGGACUGAUUUGAUUUGUUCAAUUAGUCAGUCGUCAUAAAUCGGAAAUCGGGAAACAACAAAUGGACAGAGAGAAUGAUUAUAAUCCAUGUCUCAGUCCAUAUGAUAUCUAGAAUGGAGGAAUAUAUGAUCCCUUAUCUAAUGGACAAGUCAUUGACAAAGGUCAGAGUUCAUCUACAAGGUCAGAGUUCGACAGAAGCUUUUGAGAGCUACGAUUGCCAGUUGGUUCCUGAAGUCAUACGCAAUAAUAGUUUUAGACUUAUCCAAGUGGGAGACUGUUGGAUUAAUGUCUAAGUCCAUAACUAUAAUUGGUAAGACUUGACCCGACCCGACAUGGUCCAUUUGGGUUGCAUGGCAUCAUGCAUUUGGAUAGACUAUAAUGAGAGAAAUAACACUUAAGGUUGGUUAAUAUAUUAUAAGUUCUAAUAUAUUAAUAAGUUUAUUUAAUUAGUAUUGAUCAAGAAUUAAUUUGGAAUUAAUUAAGUGAUCAAAAGGAGACUAAUUAAAUAUAUGGGUUGAUUGUGUAAAUCAUUCAUUCUUAUAUAUGUGGGCUUGUGAUCCAAGAUUCCUUAUGUUGGACUAAGUCCAUGGGGUGACCCAUGGAUACUCCAUGGAGGUUAAAAUUCAUGGAGCAUAAGGAAUGGGUAAAGUUAUGAGUUACAUGGUGUAACCCUAAUAGCCACCAUAUAAAAGAAUCCCAUGGCUCAAGAAAUGGGCACUAUGCG
rnacentral:lncRNA from 1 species